rnacentral:rRNA from 1 species
AAAACAUGCAAGUAGAACGAUGUAGCAAUACAGAGUGGCGCACGGGUGAGUAACAUGUGGGAAUAUGCCUUUUGGUACGGAACAACGUUUGGAAACGAACGCUAAUACCGUAUGGUCCCUUCGGGGUAAAGAUUUAUCGCCAAAAGAUUAGCCCGCACUAGAUUAGCUAGUCGGUGAGGUAAUGGCUCACCAAGGCGACGAUCUAUAGCUGGUCUGAGAGGACGAUCAGCCACACUGGGACUGAGACACGGCCCAGACUCCUACGGGAGGCAGCAGUUAGGAAUAUUGGACAAUGGGCGCAAGCCUGAUCCAGCCAUGCCGCGUGAACGAUGAAGGCCUUCGGGUUGUAAAGUUCUUUAGCCGAUGAUUAUAAUGACUGUAGUCGGAAAAUAAGCCCCGGCUAACUUCGUGCCAGCAGCCGCGGUAAUACGAAGGGGGCGAGCGUUAUUCGGAAUCACUGGGCGUAAAGCGUGCGUAGGCGGCCUCGCAAGUUAGAAGUGAAAGCCCAGGGCUCAACCCUGGAAUUGCUUUUAAAACUGCAAGGCUAGAAUCUCGGAGAGGAUAGCGGAAUUUCCAGUGUAGCAGUGAAAUGCGUAGAUAUUGGAAGGAACACCAGUGGCGUAGCGGCUAUCUGGACGAGUAUUGACGCUGAGGCACGAAAGCGUGGGGAUCAAACAGGAUUAGAUACCCUGGUAGUCCACGCCGUAAACGAUGUGUGCUUGUCGUUGGGAGGUUCACCUCUCAGUGACGCAGCUAACGCGUUAAGCACACCGCCUGGGAAGUACGGCCGCAAGGAUAAACUCAAAGGAAUUGACGGGGACCCGCACAAGCGGUGGAGUAUGUGGUUAAAUUGGUCGCAACGCGAAGAACCUUACCAGGCCUUGACAUGCCCUCUAUGAUUUCCAGAGAUGGAUUUCUUCACUUCGGGUGGGAGGAGCACAGGUGCUGCAUGGCUGUCGUCAGCUCGUGUCGUGAGAUGUUGGGUUAAGUCCCGCAACGUGCGCAACCCUUGUGUCCUGUUGCCACCCAGACGAGAGUCUGGAGCACUCUGGACAGACUGCCUCGCUUAAACGAGGAGGAAGGUGGGGAUGACGUCAAGUCAGGAAGGCCCUUACGGCCAGGGCUGCACACGUACUACAAUGCCCGGUACAAAGGGAAGCAAGACCGUCAGGUGGAGCAAAUCUCAGAAACCGGGCC